rnacentral:lncRNA from 1 species
UCCCCCUAACUCAGAACCUUGCAGAGGGAUUUGAAGUUGCUCUGACAGUGGAGCGGCUGGUAGUGCGGGGUUGUUAUGUUGCAUAGUUUGAAUAGCAGCAAUCAAAUUUGGACUUGCUGGACUAGUAAGUUGAACUGUUCCAUGUUGACUAUCAUUUCUGACCAGGGAGAGCCUCCGAUGGUGGCACUUGGGCCUGCGGGUUGGUAGAAUUUUUCAUUGGUUGGGAGCUAGCAGCAUUAGAAUGGUGGGAGGAUGCUCUUUUACAUGGUUCCAUAAUGUAGACCCCUUGUUUCUUCUAAAAAAAAUAGGUUCCAGGGUCGUCCUUCCUCUAAUGCCAAUAUGUUGUUGGAGAUUCUUGACUUCGAUCGGAGUGGUUGGAGAUAGCUGGUUACCUAUAAAACAAGUUUCGAUCGGAGUUCACUCUGGUGGGGAUCCUCCAACAGUCAAGUUAGAAAAUUGCAACAGAUGAGAAAGAGAGCGAGAGGGGUAGAGGGCAUGCAUAUAUGCGUACCUGGAGGAUUUUUUUUUUACCUCUAUUUAUAGGGAGGUGAGAGCCAUAAGAGGAAAAAUAAUGGAAGACCAUUCUAACUUCUUCGUUCGUACCACUCGAGAUGUCCGAAUUCAUGAAA